UUCAGUUUUAUUAAAUAUUAGAGAUAUUUUGGAUGACAUAGAUUAUAAGUUUCCUUUAUGUUUUAAAUCUAGGGCUAGGAUUAAAUUAUCUUUGUAACCUUAGUAUAAAUAAGCUGUAAAAACAUCACAAGCACAUCUUAUCAUUAUUACUACUUUUGA